rnacentral:rRNA from 1 species
GACGAACGCUGGCGGCGUGCUUAACACAUGCAAGUCGAGCGGUAAGGCCCUUUCGGGGGUACACGAGCGGCGAACGGGUGAGUAACACGUGGGUGACCUGCCCUCAGCUCUGGGAUAAGCCCGGGAAACUGGGUCUAAUACCGGAUAUGACUCCAUGACGCAUGUUGUGGGGUGGAAAGCCCUGUGCGGCUGAGGAUGGGCCCGCGGCCUAUCAGCUUGUUGGUGGGGUGAUGGCCACCAAGGCGACGACGGGUAGCCGGCCUGAGAGGGCGACCGGCCACACUGGGACUGAGAUACGGCCCAGACUCCUACGGGAGGCAGCAGUGGGGAAUCUUGCGCAAUGGGCGAAAGCCUGACGCAGCGACGCCGCGUGAGGGAUGACGGCCUGGUGU